rnacentral:rRNA from 1 species
UUUAAUUUGAUUACUUAUUUUGUUUUUUAUUUUAUUUUUAAUUUGAGUUGUUUUAUUUUUUUUUUGUUUUAUUAUUUUAAUAAUAAUUAAUAUUUUUAGUUAUAGUUUAAUUUUACUGUAGAGGUUUAUUUUUAUAAUUUUUUUAGUAUAUAUAUUUAUAGUACCUUUUGUAUCAGGGUAUAUUUAAAUAUUAUUAUUUAUUUAUUUAUCUCGAAUUAAUUUGAUCUAAUUUUUUAUGUUAGUUAAGGUUGUAAAUUUAUUUAUUAUAAAUUGUUAGUUGUGAAAUGUUAUUCGUAAAUUAAUAUAUCUAGUUUUCUAAUAAUUGAAUUUAAUUCAGCUAUUUUUAUUUUAAUUUUUUAAUUUUUAAUUUUUUAUUUAUUUAUGGUAAUAUUUAUGGGGAUUAGCUCUUAUUUUUUUUUAAAAUUUUUAUUUUAUUUUAUUAUGUAGGAUUUUUAUUGUCUAUCAUUUUUAGUAUUUUAUAAUUUAAUAAAUAUUUUUUAUGAUUUUUUUUUAUUUAAUAAUUUAUUGGAAUAUUUUUAUUAAUUAUUUAUUAUUUGUUAUAAUGAUUUAAUUAGUAUAUUAUUUUAUAUAUUUUUAAUUUUUGUUAAUUAUUUAUAAGGAACUAGGCAAAGAUUUUUAUUCGCCUGUUUAUCAAAAACAUCUUUUCUUGUUUUAAAUUUGAAAUUUGGCCUGCCCAAUGAUUAAUUUAAUGGCCGCGGUAUUUUGACCGUGCAAAGGUAGCAUAAUCAUUAGUUCAUUAAUUGUGGACUUGUAUGAAUGGCUGGACGAAAUAUUUACUGUCUCAUAUUUAUUUAUUGAACUUAAAAUUUGAGUUAAAAUGCUUAAAUUUUUUUAUAGGACGAGAAGACCCUAUAGAUUUUUAUUUUUAAUUUGAUUGUUUUUUUUUGUUUAUUUUUUAAUAAUUGAUUUAAUUUUUUAGUUGGGGUGACUUGGGGAUAUAAAUAACUCUUUUUUAUUAUAAUCAUUUAUUUUUGUUUAUAUGACCUUUUAUUAUUGUUUUAAGAUAUAAAUACCUUAGGGAUAACAGCGUAAUUCUUUUUGAGAGUUCUUAUUGACAAGGGAGAUUGCGACCUCGAUGUUGGAUUAAGAUUAUUAUUAGGUGUAGGUGCUUAUAUAUAUAAGUCUGUUCGACUUUUAAAUUCUUACAUGAUCUGAGUUCAAACCGGCGUGAGCCAGGUUGGUUUCUAUCCUUAAAUUUUAUUUUUAUAUUAGUACGAAAGGACCAUAUAAAUUAAAUAUUUUAUUUUAUUGAUUAUUAUUAA